rnacentral:rRNA from 1 species
CGUACUCUCCUACGGAAGGCAGCAGUGGGGAAUAUUGCACAAUGGGCGCAAGCCUGAUGCAGCCAUGCCGCGUGUAUGAAGAAGGCCUUCGGGUUGUAAAGUACUUUCAGCGGGGAGGAAGGCAAUACGGUUAAUAACCGUGUUGAUUGACGUUACCCGCAGAAGAAGCACCGGCUAACUCCGUGCCAGCAGCCGCGGUAAUACGGAGGGUGCAAGCGUUAAUCGGAAUUACUGGGCGUAAAGCGCACGCAGGCGGUCUGUCAAGUCGGAUGUGAAAUCCCCGGGCUCAACCUGGGAACUGCAUUCGAAACUGGCAGGCUUGAGUCUUGUAGAGGGGGGUAGAAUUCCAGGUGUAGCGGUGAAAUGCGUAGAGAUCUGGAGGAAUACCGGUGGCGAAGGCGGCCCCCUGGACAAAGACUGACGCUCAGGUGCGAAAGCGUGGGGAGCAAACAGGAUUAGAAACCCCGGUAGUCCCAUGA